GGGAUAAAUCUGGGGCUGAGUACAAGCAAAACAAGACCAAAGGAAGCUACCUGAGCAGGUAUUCCAGAUACUCAUGUCAUACACCAAGGUUGUACCAGUGCCCCUUUCUCUGUGACACAUCCAUCCACUGGAAACUUUCGUACAACUAGCUGAAAGAAGAGAAACAUCCUAUUUCAUGUCACUGGAGCCCUAAUGAUCGCAGCCAUUUCAGGAAAUGCCAUCAAUUACAGUGAGGAGCUCAUUCAGAAGUGAAAGAUGAGUUCCAUUCUCUGUUACUUAGAGCUUUAGCCAGUACCUGGCAGUUCUAGACUACCCUUCUUGAAGAUCUGCCCUUCUUGAAGACUUACCCUAUGGAUUUAGAAAUUGCCUAGCCAGCUCCUAUAAUCAAGUUAAUUAACUGAUCUAUAUAUUUAACCAAUAACUAUUGAGCACCUACUGUGUCAUCCCUACAAUAAUACUGGACCCAGAGAAGGCAGAAGGUCUCAGAAAUAAGCUCAAGAAGACAACACAGAAUAGACGGCUGGAGAAAAGGAUUCCUUGCUAUUUUUCUGUUCUUAGUCUAACUAACACACUUCAAAACAAUCCUGAUAUGGGCCUGUUAAACAUUUUGCUAGUAGCCCUACGAAAAAUUGUUGUAAAAAUGCAUGGUGCUACAUGAUGAAAUGAGUUUGUUGACAAUUUUAGUACAUUGUGAUUAAGUUUCAAUAGAAGGAGAAUGUGCCUGGAAGAUCUCAUUGUCAAGUCUUGUAAAGAGAUAAGUAAUUUAGAGAUUCUUGCAUUUUAAAAAGUGACAUUGGGAAAUUACUAUCCCUUGAGAGACAAGUCAGAUGUAAUAAACAAAAGCAGCAAA
ensembl:lncRNA novel transcript